rnacentral:lncRNA from 1 species
UCUGACCUCGUGGUGUAGUCUGGUUCGAGUAAUUAAGCCCGAGGGGUGUUUCACCUAAUGCUUUGAGCCAACUGGAUCAGGAGUCAUUGGCCGAAAACUCGCUACAUGGACCUUAUUAGAGCCUAAGGGGGUUGGAUUAUUGUAAUCGUCAUAUGUGUUUAAAAAUAAAAAUAAGCAUGAAUAGGGUUGGUCAGACUGAACCCAGUGACAUGUGGUAAUGGUUGGUUUGACUCCAUUAAUUUGGAACUCUGUGUACUUUGGAUGUUUAGUUGGGAUUGAUAGCUCCUUCUUUAUAUACGAACCAUUCUUGACAAAAUUUAGACAACAUGAGAUAUUCUGAAAAUUUGAUGGAUCAAGCUCUAAUAAACUGUAGUAAACACCUGUGAACUUGAGUAGUGCACCUAAAAUUCAAGCGGUACCAUGUUGUGGUGGAGGUAUUAGUGCUCUAAGAAAGUCAUCUAUUUAUGCAUACUACACUCUAGUAUUACCCUUGCUUUGAUAGUUGCCAUGCUUGAGAAAAAUAUAUAUCACGUGUGCAUUGACUUAAAUUUCAUUAUAUAUCAUUUUAUGAAUGAUCUCUGUGGGUAACAUCACUGCAAACCCUCACGAGACAACACUCGUCCACUAGGGUAACCUAGGGGUUUAACGGCUUGUUGCACGUGCUAAGUGCAAUCGUGAUUCCUAUGAAAGUGAGUACUUAUCUUAAUUUUAUGCAAUUAGUUCUAAUAAAACAUCAAAGGAUCAACCAACAUUUUUUUUGUACUCUCAUGAUAUUGUUUACUCUGAAUUGCUAGAGACUAGCAAUAAGCUAGUUGGGGGGUAUGAUGAGAGCACAAAAGUGCGAUCUAAGUACCAAUUAACUUAGCCUAAUGCUAACAAAAUAAUGAUAAAUAAUAGGUGUUAAC